rnacentral:rRNA from 1 species
AUGAGACUAUAUGGUAUCAGGUGUGGAGGUAAGAGCCUACCAAGCCAAUGACGCCUAGCUGGUCUGAGAGGAUGAUCAGCCACACUGGAACUGAGACACGGUCCAG